rnacentral:rRNA from 1 species
AACGAACGCUGGCGGCAUGCCUAACACAUGCAAGUCGAACGAGACCUUCGGGUCUAGUGGCGCACGGGUGCGUAACGCGUGGGAACCUGCCCUUAGGUUCGGAAUAACUCCCCGAAAGGGGUGCUAAUACCGGAUAAUGUCUUCGGACCAAAGAUUUAUCGCCUUUGGAUGGGCCCGCGUUGGAUUAGCUAGUUGGUAGGGUAAAAGCCUACCAAGGCGACGAUCCAUAGCUGGUCUGAGAGGAUGAUCAGCCACACUGGGACUGAGACACGGCCCAGACUCCUACGGGAGGCAGCAGUGGGGAAUAUUGGACAAUGGGCGAAAGCCUGAUACAGCAAUGCCGCGGGAGUGAUGAAGGCCUUAGGGUUGUAAAGCUCUUUUACCCGGGAUGAUAAUGACAGUACCGGGAGAAUAAGCUCCGGCUAACUCCGUG